rnacentral:siRNA from 1 species
GAAGGGACGCAUUUAUUAGAUA